rnacentral:rRNA from 1 species
UACAGAGGGUGCAAGCGUUGUUCGGAAUUAUUGGGCGUAAAGGGCGCGUAGGCGGUGCGGUAAGUCAGGUGUGAAAUCUCGGGGCUUAACUCCGAAACUGCAUUUGAUACUGCGGUGCUUGAGGACUGGAGAGGAGACUGGAAUUUACGGUGUAGCAGUGAAAUGCGUAGAGAUCGUAAGGAAGACCAGUGGCGAAGGCGGGUCUCUGGACAGUUCCUGACACUGAGGCACGAAGGCCAGGGGAGCAAACGGG